rnacentral:rRNA from 1 species
UACGUAGGGUGCGAGCGUUGUCCGGAAUUACUGGGCGUAAAGAGCUCGUAGGUGGUUUGUCGCGUUGUCCGUGAAAACUCACAACUCAAUUGUGGGCGUGCGGGCGAUACGGGCAGACUGGAGUACUGCGGGGGAGACUGGAAUUCCUGGUGUAGCGGUGGAAUGCGCAGAUAUCAGGAGGAACACCGGUGGCGAAGGCGGGUCUCUGGGCAGUAACUGACGCUGAGGAGCGAAAGCGUGGGGAGCGAACAGG